rnacentral:rRNA from 1 species
ACGUAGGGCGCAAGCGUUGUCCGGAAUUACUGGGCGUAAAGGGCGCGUAGGCGGGAUGGCAAGUCGGUCGUGAAAUCCUUCGGCUCAACCGAAGAACGUCGAUCGAUACUGCUGUUCUAGAGGAUUGCAGAGGAGACUGGAAUUCCCGGUGUAGCGGUGAAAUGUGUAGAGAUCUGGAGGAAUACCGGUGGCGAAGGCGGCCCCCUGGACAAAGACUGACGCUCAGGUGCGAAAGCGUGGGGAGCAAACAGGA